UCAGUAGUUCAGUGGUAUAUGCACAGGGUUAUAGAAUGAUUGGCCUGGGUUCAAAUCCA
rnacentral:tRNA from 16 species